rnacentral:misc_RNA from 1 species
UUGUAGAAGAUGACGAACGCAGAGGAUUGACCGAGUAUGCGAAUAAACUCCCCUCCUUACAACUCUCUCCCCGUUCCAUGUGUGAUCUGGAGCUUUUAUCCAUUGGGGCGUUCUCGCCGUUGGAUCGCUUUAUGGGCAAGGCCGAUUACACCCGGGUUCUUCGGGAGAUGCGUUUGGCCAACGGUACUCUGUUCCCCAUUCCGAUCACUCUCCCGGUCCAGGAUGUUCAGUCCAUACAAAAAGGCAAAGACAUUGCGCUCAGGAGUCCUAAGAAUGAGCUACUGGCGAUUAUGACAGUAGAGCAAGUGUUUGAAUGGAGCAUCUCUCAGGAAGCUCGUCUAAUCUUAGGGACGACCGAUACCCGUCACCCACUAAUCGCCGAGAUGGCUUCAUGGGGAAAGACGUAUAUCUCCGGCCCACUAAAGGUCUUUAGUCUGCCGAAGCAUUACGAUUUUGUCGAGCUUCGUAGGACACCGGCUGAGGUACGUGCCACGAUUCAGGCGCUUGACCACACCGAUGUCGUCGCGUUUCAAACCAGAAAUCCCAUCCACCGAGCCCAUGAAGAACUGACCAAGCGGGCUGCUGCACAAGUGGCAGGUGCUUUAUUGAUCCAUCCCGUCGUCGGCAUGACCAAGCCCGGAGACGUCGAUCACUACACGCGUGUGCGCGCCUACAAGGCAUUGGUAGAACGCUACUACGAUAAAACGACGACGGUGUUGAGUCUAUUGCCAUUGGCCAUGCGGAUGGCCGGUCCCCGCGAAGCUCUUUGGCAUGCGAUCAUCCGGCGUAACUAUGGAGCAAACCAUUUCAUCGUCGGUAGAGACCAUGCGGGUCCCGGUGUUGAUUCCGCCGGUCGCCCGUUCUAUGGGCCGUACGACGCUCAGAAUCUCCUUCAGAGAUUCGAGCCUGAGGUCGGGGUGAAGAUGAUCCCCUUUCGAGAAAUCGUCUAUUUGCCUGAUGAAGCGCGAUUCGAAGAACAACACCGAGUCCCGCGCGGAACUCGAAUUGCCACGCUUUCCGGAACUCAAGUCCGGGACGAAUAUCUAAGCAAAGGAGCGGCGUUGCCUGACUGGUUCACGCGCCCGGAAACUGCAGCGAUCUUGUCGAAGAUUUCUCUGCCUACCCAUCAGCAAGGAUUUUGCCUCUGGUUCACCGGUCUCAGCGGCGCCGGCAAGUCUACCAUCGCGGAGAUCGUCGCUAUCUUACUGAUGGAACAUGGCAGGCAGGUAACCGUGCUCGAUGGCGAUGUUGUCCGUACUCAUCUAUCGAAAGGCUUGGGAUUCAGCAAGGAAGACCGGGAUACGAACAUUCUUCGGAUCGGUUUCGUAGCGUCCGAAAUUGUCCGGCACCAUGGUUCUGUAAUCUGCGCGGCGGUGAGCCCUUACCGGGCAGCGCGCAACGAAUGUCGCAGUAUGGUCGGAAAAGAUCGUUUCAUUGAAAUCUUCGUAGACACUCCUGU